CUUCAUCACCCUCCUGGUAAUAGGCAUAGGGAUCCUCCGAAGCUUCAUCUCCGGCCUCUUAUUAAGUUUGUAUAUUGCAAGGGUGAGUACCAACCAUACUUAGCAAGCCACCAUAGCAAUAAUGCAUAUCAUAGGGGUAUUCAAAGGAUGGAUACGGUUCUUUUGCGCAAAGCAAGUUUUGUAAUUCUUUUCACAAGCCUAAGACCUAGCACAGACUGAUCAAAUUUUAGUACCAGUGUUCAUAUUAAACAAUGACGGUUCUGUCCACCAUCCAUUGUGAUCCCAAGGAUAGCUUCCCGCCAUUGAGUCGUCAUGGUUUUCUGAGGACGUCCACCUUCCUGCCUCUCAAGAAGUGGCUCCAUCAGUAUAGAAAUCAUCAUGCAAUAUCCCAUCCCACACAAGUUAAGAAUUUAGAGUCUAGCCAAGUGUAAUACAUGUCCCGGUGCUCAAUAACCGCGAGCACGGCUAUUCGAAUAGAUUUGGUUUACUCACACUGCAGUGGAUGUACACUUUACCCACACUCCGCGACUGCCCAACACAUGAGCCUCGUCCCAACACAUGAGACGCGUCACGGCAAAGCUUUUCGAUAACCUCGCAUUGGCAGUACCCGCUCCAUGAACUUUACAUCCUCAUGCACUCUAGGCGUACACGGUUUCUAGCAGUGAGAGGAGUUCUGGCGCACCCGGGAAGGAAAGACUCACACAUGCAUUAAGUUAUAACUAGGUUUAAAUUCUCACAUGGCAGUCCUACCGAUGGCGACACCACUGUAGACACCCGCCUCGCGGUUCUACCAAUGGCUGCCCCACCGUAGAGCCCCUGUCUCACACAUCAAGAAACCACUAUGCAUGGAUACUGCCUCCGCUCAGCUAUCUAUUCCGCUAGGUCUAUACCCAUACGAGAAGUGCGGUUGUACGAGGGUCAUUUCAUGCUUAACUUCAUGGCUCGGUCCUUAAUUGACCGGGGACGGUACUAGCCUUUUCCGGAUACCACCCAAAUCCUCCGUCCGCCCCAGUCAAAAACAGUUGUUUAAUUUUAUUUCUCCUUUCACAAAUUAUGUCAUCAACAUCAUGGCAAUGUGGCGCUCAUGUCUCCACAUGCCGCAUCUCAAUUACCUUCCCAAAGGUAAUUGCCCAAGCAUAUAGCAUUUGAUAAAUAUGAGUAUGCAUGAUUCUAGAGUGGCAUCUCUAAGCAUUUGUCAUAGUUGACUAGGGACUCAUACGUAAUCAUGGUUACAAGGGAAUAAGGGUAAACAAUAAUCAAGGUAUGGCAUAUUCACAAAUAGGAUGUUCAUCAUUGCAUACAAUUUUAUUUGUAAACAAAAUAAUUUCGCAAUUGGGAUCAACAUGUUCAAAGAAUAGUGAUGAUUUGCCUUGCUCAAAUUCUUGCGGGUCUUGGCCUUCACUUGGAUCCGCAAUUCCCUCGGGCUCUAUAGUUACGUGCGAAAAUUGAUUUGAAUUCGGUUAGAAUUCAAAUAAAAAUCCAAAUAAAUCCAAAUGGAAGUCGAAUGCGAAAGUUGAUUCUUUUUUAUUAACUUUACUAUUCGCGAACUAGGGCAAACCCAAUUUCGAUUUAUACAUCCUAAACUAUUUUUGCGGGCAUAAAUAUUUUGUUACCAUAAGUUUUUAAUUUAAUCUACCCGAGCAUUAUAUCCAUAUAAUAGGUUAGAAAUUUCUAUCGCGAGCUAAAUAUCGGACAAAAUCCUAAAAUUAUCUUAUAAUAUUGUAUGAUUUAAUUUAGUCUAUGACUAAACGAUUAAAUAUAAUACACGGCUAAAAUUCCUAGUAAUUAAAUCCGAAUUCCUACUGUGAAUCGAUGACUAUAGAGAUUACCAAAAAUAAUCUAUAAUAAUCUAUAAGAAUUCAUCUAAUUGUUUAGUUAUUAAUUACAUCUAAAUUACUACCAAUUUUAAUCUAAUCCGAUCAAGAAACAUAUUUCUAUAAUUAACCCAGAAUUUUGAUCGAAAUACUAUUACACUCUAGGAAUUUCCAAAAAUAAUCUAUGAUUAACCCCGACCAUUUUUAUUUCCUAAAUCCUCCUAAUCUCUCCCCUAAUUUCUCUUCUAUUUUCACCUUUUAUUCUUUUCAAUUUUCCUCUCUUUCUCUUUCUCUCUUUUAUUUUCUUUUUCUUUCUCUUUUUCUCUUUUCUUUUCUUUUUCUUUCUCUUUCUCUCCUUUCUUUUCUUUUUCCUUCUCUUUCUCUCCCUCCCGGUUUCUCUCCUUCUUUCUUUCUUCUUUCUCUCCCUCGGCUUCUCCCUUCCUCUCUCUCUCGGCUCUCUCUCUCUCUCUCCCUACCCAAGGCGGCGGCGGCGACAGCGCGCUCGGAGGGGGGAGGGGGCGGCGGCUUACCGACGGCGGCGGCGGCGACGGCGACGCAAGGCAGCGACGCACGGCGCGGCGGCUCCGGGGCGACGGCGCGGCGGCUUCGAAGGCAGCGGCGUGGCGGCACGACGACGGUGGCGCGUGGAGAAGGGGGAGAGGGAGAGGAGGAGGGAAUGGAGUGGGGUGGAGAAGGGGGAAGGGGCCGGGGUUUUAUAGGGGAGAGGGGGAAGAAAGAGAGGGGAAGGAGGGGCCGGCCUGAUGCGACGGCGGCGCAGGGCUCGGGGCGGCGACGGGGCUCGGGGCGGCGCGGGGCUCGGCGUGCGGUGAUGGCGACGGGCGACGCGAUGGCGACGGGCGACGUGACGGCGAUGGCGACGCGGCGACGGGACGGCGCGGCGCAGCGCGGGGCUCGGCGCGCGGCGACGGUGACACAACGGCGACGGCGACGCGAUGGCGACGGGGCGGCGUGGGGCUCAAGGGCGACGGCGACACGACGGCGACGGCGCCGGCUCGAGGCGCGGGCGGCGGUGCGUGGCGCUGGGCUCAAGGGCGACGGGACGCGACGGUGAUGCGGUGCGGCAGCGGCGAUGGGACGGCGGCGCGACGAUGCGAUGGGACGGGCGCACGGCGGCAGGCGACUAUGGCGACGGCGCGCGGCGGCUCGGGGUGCGAGGCGGCCAGGCGUGACGGGCGGCGGCGCGUGGUAACGGUGGCGACAGAGAGGGGGGGAGGAGCUAGACUAGGCCCACAUCAAGCACCUAGGGGCUAAUGAAUAGUGACUUUUUCCUAUUUUUCCCAUUUUAGUCUAUUUCCUAUAAAUUUGAUUCUAUAAUUCCUAAUUUUUGCAUAUAUGAAUUUUACUCAAUAUUUGUGUUAUCCAACCAAUGAAUUCACCCUAGAUUAAUAUUACCCAUAUUUUAUUAUUUUUUUAUUUAUUUGAAUUUUUAAUUAGGAUUAAUUCUUGUUCCAUUGCAUUUAAAUCUAAUUGAUACAAAUACGGCCGCGAUGAUAUUUUAUUUAUUUCUAUCCUUACAUAAUAUUUAUUUUAAAUUAUAAUUUAUUUAUUUCUUUAACCAAAUCUAAUUUCAGGGUUAAUUCCUUAUUAACUUUCCCUUAUUUGUGAUCGAUGAAUUCCGAAAUCAAAAUCCAAUCAAAUCAUUGAAUAAAAUUGGCAUGAUGCAAUAUUUUUAAAAAGUUUUUGAAGGCCCAUAUUUUUAGAGUUUAGAUUUUUGUCGGUCGAAUUUUCAGGGUGUUACAGAAGCAUGCUGGUCUAAAAACCUGAAAGAAAGACAAAGUAAUCUUUCCAUAAACCCAAAAGGAAAAAACGGCGAAAAGUUAGGUUGUUUGCAUAGCAAUUUUGAAGAAAAAAAAGUUGAAUAAAAGCCACAAAAAGAAACCAAAAAAAUCCAGCUCAUCGUAUAAAAUACUCCCAACUGCCUCGCUUCCCUUCCCCUCUAGCUUCUACUAGUACUCGUUCUGCACACACGCACACCACCUCUCUCCUCUCCUCUCCUCCCUCCGCGCGUGCGCCUCCAGAUUUGGCCACCUCCGCCACCGCCAAAUCGGAGCGUGGCCUCGGCCUUGCCGUUGCCAGGUGAGCCUGGCGAUCCGAUCCUCCUCCCCUCAUGCUCUCGUUGUUUUUUUUCCCACUCAGAUUUGGCCGAUCCGUGUGUGUGCCCGAUCUACCGCGACGGGGGGAAUGGAGGCGCGGCGUGGUGUUGCAGUGGCGCGAUCUGGAGUGUGUGUGUGUGUGUGUGUGUGUGUGUGUGUGUGUGUGUGUGUUUUCUCGAUGUGGUGUGUGUAUUUAGUGGGGAUGGGGGUUGUGAUCUGAUGCGGUUCGGUUUCGCUGUUUGGGGGGAAUGCUCAUCGAGAGGGAUUGGGUUGAUGGUGUCAGGUAGAUCUGGAUCAGCUUAGCCGAUUGGGUUGUGUGCGUGCUGGAAAUUUAGGUAGGGAUGUGAGCUGCUUGGGUUGUGUGCAUGCUGGAAAUAUAGGUAGGGAUGUGAUCUGCGAAGCCUCGUGAAUCACACCUGCGUUUUUGGCCGGGUUGGUGGUGGAGAUGGGCUUGGAUCGCAUGGGUGCUACCUAUGUUGAAUUCUGCGCGCCCACGUGAAACUUUGAUUCGUACGGUAGUUAAUUUUCCUUUUUCGUUUUGCUUAUAGUUCCUGUUCCGUUCGUGUGCUGACCAUGCUACGAUUUAGGCAAGUUUUUUUUUGGGUAGCAACUAAUUUUGUUGCUGGUGAUGAAGCCUUGUCAGAUGCUGAGCAAUAGUGCGGAGUAUCCGACUUGUAGUGAUUGGAUCAUGGGAGUUACUGGGCAACCCCAAGGGUCAGCAUUCCUUGGUGCUAGAAUUUGUGGUGUCUGCUUUUAGACAACCGUAUGUGUAAUCUAAAUUUCUGUUCUCUUGAAUGAGAGAAGGGAAGGGAAGGUUCUUUUUCUUUCUGGAAAGCAGUAGAGUGACUAAUGAAUAUGAUGGGGGUGAGGAGGGAAAUGUUCACAUAUCGCGUUACGGCUAUCUUCUUGUUGAACCUUCUCAUCUCUAUUAUGAGCAAAUUUUGUCCCAAUUGUGGUUCUUUGUGAGUCACAGUGCUAGUUUUGUUUAUUAGGAUGUAGCUAUGCCAGCAGAUACCAGUAGGACACAACAUACCACACAAUAAGCUACUUUGUAAAAUGCAUCACAUUAAACACCUAAUGCCAUGCCAUCCUUAUUUGAUGUGCUUAAUGUUCUAAAAGUUGGCCCUAGGCACGGCGCAUGUUUUAGGAGCUAUGUGCUAUGUCUCGGCUGUGAUAUUGCAUUUGGCGGUGCACCUGCCUUGGUAGCUCUAGUGCUGAUAUUUUAAUUGUCUUUAUUUUAUGUGAUAUGUUUGGUAAUUGCUAGGAAACCCCUUGUCAAGUUGAUCCUAGGCGGUGUUAGGUGCCUGUAGCUGCUAACCUUGCUGACCACCUAGUAGUGUUUAUCACCUUAUUGAGCAUUGUAUGCGCUAUGACAGCCAGCAAUGUGGUGACUGGCUUGUGUGCACCUGUGGUUUAGUGUACACCUCACUGCCUUGGCUGCACAGCAUGACUCAUUAGUUAUGGUGCACAUGCCCCAAACUGAUGUUCGUACUUUCCUCACAGGCCUAGAUUUGUGUACGGUGAUUUGAUUUCUGUUUGUGUUAUUUUUUGCAUGCAUGAUUUUCAGGGAGUUACACUCGGGUAGGGAUUUGGAUGUGGGAUUUAAUGCUUAUUUGGUUUGUGGGUAGACGUAGUGUGAUUGCAUAAUUCCCUAUGUCAUGGUUUAACUUGAACUUUGUAUCAGUGUGGAGAUAUAUUCGUUUUGAUGUAUAGAUCAUGAAAUGGUAAUCUGUGUGCCUUUUCUGUCUGAACCAUGUUGAAUAUCCCCUAUAUCCCAAAAUAUAAGUAUUUCUGGAGUUUUGCACUGUGAUUAAGGAAGUAGGUGAAAUUAAAUGGGAGAUGGUUUUCAUUUGUUGAGAUGGGGAAGUAGGUGGAAAGAAAUUAAAUGGGAGAUAGUUGUGAUUUGUUGAGAUAAGGGAGUAGCUGAAGUUGCUAUUGUUAGGAUCGUAGGAUCACUAGGUGCACAUCAUAGGGGUUGAUGUCUAAGCUCAUAGCGGUAUAGUUGAUUGCUUGUGGGAGUAAACAGAGAGAGAGAGAGAUGUGGGACACAUACCUUCACCCUUAGAGGUAGACUCGGACAUGCCGACGGUGUCGGCGCGGCGUAGAUGUCCCCGGGGUCGGCGAUGUCGGUGUAGGCGACGGCGGUAGCGGCAGCGAGAACGAGGGCAUUUCCCCUCACUUCAGCGCGUCCCAGAUUGGUAGGAGUCUAGGGUUUGUGGGGAGUCCGUGUAUGCAGCGAAUGUUUUGUUCGCGCGCCCAGCGGCACCCCCUCUUUAUAUUGUGCUGCGUGAGAGGGGCCCACUACCAAUAGAUCGGCUGGCGCCCCCGAUCAGGGCGCGUAGGCGGAGUGGGGAAUCGGUUUCCCGAUUCCCCCGGAGAUCGCAACUAACAUUCUCCCCUUUGAUCUCCGCCUUUCUUACUUCUCUUACUUAACAUUUACUUCUCAAUAGAUUGAUGCAUAGAGCACGCUUCAUCCGAUAGUCACUACUGAACCAUCAAACGCAACGACUACAAUGCACCUCCUCAUCUAGAAAUAAACACUAGGCCCUUUUGUAAUCCAAGGAUCAUAAGCUUUCCUAUAAAACCCAUGCUGGUUAAGUGUUCUCUGAACACACUGGGCGGUAAGCCUUUUGUAUACAGAUCUGCUAACAUUUCCUUUGUUCUUAUAUGCUCAGACUAAUGGUCUGAUCCUGGAUUUUCUCUUUCACAACAUAAAACUUAAUGUCAAUGUGUUUGGCAGCACCACUCGACUUAUUGUUGUGAGCAUAAAACAUUGUUGGCUCAUUGUCGCAGUACAUAUUGAGUGGCCUUUGAAUGUUGUCGACUACUUUCAACCCAGGUACAACUUCUUUAACCAUUUUGCUUGCCCUGUGGCCUCAUAACUAGCUACAAACUCGGCAUACAUCAUCGAUGAUAUGCUAUGACGGUUUGCUUGGAGCUUUUCCACGAAAUAGCCCCUUUUGCGAGAGUGAAUAUGUAGCCUGAUGUGGACUUUCUAUCAUCUACAUCUCUCGCAAAAUCUGUAUCUGAAUACCCUUCUAUCUCUAGGGAAUCAGAUCUUCUGUACGUUAGUAUGAGGCCUUUUGUGCCUUGCACAUAACGCAAAGCUUUCUUUACCAUUCUCCAGUGAUCUAUUCCUGGAUUUCCUUGAUAUCUGCCAAGUAUCCCAGUAACAAAAGCUAAGUCAGGGCGCGUACAUACUUCAGCAUACUGCAAGCUUCCGAUAGCCGAAGCAUGUGGAACAACUUUCAUUUGAUCGAUCUCAAACUGGUUCCUGGGACAUUGAAAUUUCCCAAAUCUAUCGUCCUUGACUAUGGGAGCAGGUGUAGGCUUACUCGCAUGUAUACUGUAUUUCUUUAGUACUUUUUCCAGAUAUGCCUUUUGCGAUAAUCCUAAAACCCAUUUUCUUCUAUCUCGGUGAAUCUCUAUUCCUAGAACAGAUAAGGCUUCACCAAGAUCUUUCAUAUCAAAAUUCGAGGACAAAAACUUUUUCGUCUCCAAUAGUAGAUCAACAUCACUACUAGCGAGUAGGAUGUUAUCUACAUAUAGGAUUAGGAAAAUAAAUCUUCUAUUUCCGAACUUUGCGUAAACACAAUUGUCCUCUUCAUUCUCAUUAAACCCAAACCUUCUUAUUACUUCAUCAGACAUUAAGUACCACUGUCUGGAGUGUCUGGAGGCUUGUUUUAAUCCAUAGAUGGAUUUCUUCAUAUGGCAUCCCAUUUAUUCUUUUCCUUCCACAACAAAACCCUUGGGUUGUGCCAUGUAGACGUUCUCAUAUAAAUCCCCAUUAAGGAAUGACGUCUUUACAUCCAUUUGAUGUAGUUCUAGAUCAUAAUAUGCCACAAGUGCCAUUACGAUCCCGAAGGAAUCUUUACCUGACACGGGAGAAAAGGUCUCAUUAUAAUCAAUUCCUUCUCUUCAAGUAAACCCUUUUGCCACAAGUCGUGCUUUAUAUCUUUCUACAUUCCCUUUAGAGUCACAUUUUGUUUUGUAGACCCAUUUGCAGCCUACUGUUUUGGCUCCUUUAGGAAUUUCUUCUAAGUCCCAAACUUUGUUGGUACUCAUUGAUCUUAUUUCAUCUUCCAUGGCUUCAAGCCACUUCGAUGAAUGAGCACUUCUCAUGGUUUCUUCAAACGAGGUGGGAUCACCCUGUGUUUGAACUUCUUCACUAGCAUAGACUUGGUAGUCACUAAGAAUAUCUGUCUUUCUUUCUCUUUGAGAUUUUCUAAGUUGUGGUACAUCUUCUAUUUGGGGCUGAUGUUGCUCUUCCUCUUGUGUGACAACUAGUUCUGUAGGAUCCUGAAUCUCAGGUUCCUCUUGCUCAUUCGUUGUUGUCACAGGAGAACUAACAUCAGGUGUUGUCACAACAACAUUCUGUGUUGUCGGUGUUACAUCAACAGGUAUCGAGAAAAAGGGUUCUUGAAUCAUCGGAGUCGGUAGAUGUACCCGCUUCUCCUCAAGACUAAUUUAUCGGGGUACCAUGCUCCCCCUGACUAUCUCAUCCUCCAGAAACAAUGUGUCUCAUUUCCACGAACUUGGUGUGUCUAUCAGGACAGUAGAAACGAAAACCUUUCGACUUCUCAGGGUAGCCAAUGAAAUGGCAACUGACUGUCUUGUGAUCUAGCUUCCCAAUAUUUGGGUUAAAUAACUUUGCCUCAACUUGAUAGCCCCACACCCGUACAUAAUUUAGCAUGAAUUUCCUUCCUGUCAAUAGCUCAUACGGUGUUUUGGGUACCGACUUACUUGGUACUCGAUUAAGAAUAUGGGCAGCGGUUUUUAAUACCUCCAUCCAUAGUCUUUCUGCUACUCCGAUCUAUUGAGGCUCGUCCGGUGCGGAGUACUGGGCUACUAUGCCAUAUGCCAUUUUCCUGUAGAAACCUUGCAAAAGGUCCAGGUAUUUGGCCAUAAGGGGUAUGCCGAGCAUAGUAGUACUCUCCUCCACGGUUGGACCUUAUUGCUUUAAUCUUUAGAUCAUAAUGAUUUUCUUUCCUUUAAUACAAUCUAUGCAAUAUUCUGAAUCCGUAAUGUCUAACGGAUACAAAAUUUCUUCUUUAAUAAAUCGUUCAAUUCUCCCCUUCAAAAUGUGGCCUAAACGACAGUGCCACAAUUUCGCCGUGGUUUCCUCAUUGCAUCGUUUGCGCUUACUUCUUACAUUCGUAGACGAGGAAGACACACUAUUGCAUGCAACAUUCACUUCAUUGCAUACAACAUUCACAUUACUAUUGCGUCUUUCUGCUCUUUGAAGAGUCCUCCUCGUACGGAAUCCCUUUCUUUAUAAGAUGCUUCAGGAAUUCAGGGCAAUCCUUCUGAUAGUGCCCCUUCUUGCACUACUUGGCAAUGAGCUUCUCAAAGUCCCAGUUUUCGGGCAAUGAAUUGUAGUUCACAACAAAAGCCUCAAAAACUGAAGGCAAGGAGGAAAAAUUAAGGUGAACUAGGAACUCAUCAGGAAGAACUAAAGUCCAUCUUCUUGAGCUUUGAAGCGAUGCCACUCAUCUUCAAAAUAUGCUCUCUAACCCCUUCGCUCGUAUACUACAUGGUUACUAACCUCUUGUUAGGGAUUUCGCACAGGCCUUUAAAGAACCAGUGAACUGAUUCUCCACCCAUUGAAGGUACUCUAUGGCAGUGGGAUUGCUCCCCUUAUUGCCUCCACAAUGGAGCUCUUGAUCACCAUCAAGCACUUGCAUUUUGAUGACUCCUACUUCGCACGAUCAGUGUUGUACUUCUGUACUAUUGGAGCAUUGUCCAACGUUCUCUGCUUAAAAGCAUCUUCACUCUCACCUUCUGCCCUCACUGGAGCAAUAGCUCAGUGGGGCAAGACUCGGUGAGAGCUAAAACUAUAUCAGACAUCGCAAGUGCUAUAUCUAUCUUCUCUCUCGCAUGAGCCUUAGUUAUUCCCGUUAAGGGGCUCACAAUGGCCGAGAUGUGAACUAAUGGGUUAGUAGAUCCUAAAGCAAAUUAAAGAAUUGAGAAACAUUUAAACCUUUUGCAUGUUUUAAUUUAGCUCUAUUUCUUCGUUAUUGUUAUAGGAAGUCCGAGUGAGGUUUCAAGGAUUUGGGGCUGAAGAGGAUGAAUGGAUCAAUGUCCGGAAGGCUAUCCGACUGUAAUCCAUCCCGCUAGAAUCAUGAGAAUGCCGACUCAUCAGGGAAGGAGAUAUUGUCCUCUGUUUCAAGAUAAAGGGUAAUAAAUUUCCCUUAUUUUUUCCUGAAAUAAUAACUGAGGCUAUACAAUACCGUAGAUAUUAUAUGUUGCACUGCUGCGACUUUCUACGUUUGUAUCAUUUUGAUGGAUUUUUUUUAAAUGUAAUUUUUAUCGAAGUUUUUCAUUUCCUCAUUGUGAUUUGUUCAUCAGGAGAGCAAUGAUGAAGCAUUGCAUUUUGAUCAUGAUGGAACCCAGGUAAUUUUAACCAUUCCUACCUAUCGUUAGAACAAAAAAUGAUAUGCCGUUCCUGCGAAUGUUCAUCCAGUAAAUCACAAAUGAUAUGUCGUUCAUGCGAAUGAUAUUGUAUUCUUCCCCAUAUUUCCCAACUCACCUCCCUCGUAUCGCGCGCGUACGCUUUUUAAACUAUCAAAUGGUGCGUUUUUUUUUGCAAAAGGUUUUUAAGUUGCUUUAAAAAUAAUAUUAAUCCAUCUUUAAAACAGUUUAAUAAAUACUUAAUUAAUCGUAAGAAAAUGCGUUGCUUCAUUUUGCGUGCGCGGGAGGUGAGUUUCCAACCUCACCACCCGAACUAAUUUAGCUUGAUGCUAAAAAACUUAUGUUUUUUUUCCUUUCUGGUGCCAGGAGAGGGUGAACCUGAGAAGAUUGUCCCAGCGGCCGAAGCACUCUUAAUGGCUUGUGUCAAACUGUCGAAUACACGUGUGCCUCUUGCCAUAUGCGCUAAUGUUGAACUGAGAGGAACUGAGAGGUUGUUUGGUUGAUGGCUAAGUUUACCACACCUUACUUUAUGGGGUUGUUUGGUUGAUGGCUAAGUUUACCAUAUCUCACUUUGUCACAAGUGUGUUAUGCCACAAAAAGUGAGGCUAACAAUUUGUUGGCCACAAGUGUGGCUAAGUUUGGUAAGAAUUUGAGUCUAUAACGUGUAGGCCCAAUGAUUUUGUAAAGUGAGGCAUGAUACAAGUGUAGCAACCAACCAAACACUGUACUAACAAAUUGUGGCAUGCCUAAGGUUUGGCAUGGCAAUCUUUAGAAGCCAACCAAACAGCCCCUCAAUCCGAUAGUUAGGGUCUAAAAUGUUUUAUGAACUCAUGAGUAACCCCAUGUGAUGGUACAUUUCAACCCACUCACUUGGGCAAAUUCCCAUUUGAAUUGCUGUUUGUGAGGUCCUUGAUGUCUAAAUUUUGGACAUGGUAAGAAGAGCAUACUUCCUCCGUCAAAAAAAAACUCAACCUAGGAGGGGAUGUGAUCUAGAUUCUAGAUAAAGGGUAGCCAGAUUUGUUGUCUUAGAAGGGAUCACAUGACUCAUAUUCUCUUAAUAGGUUAAGUUUUUUUUAAGGACGAAGGAACUCUUAUAGGUUAAGUAUUUUUUAAAGGAUGAAGGAAGUAUACGAUAAUAUGACCGGCUCCAAGAACUAUCAGGAUUUGAACUUUUUUAAAUGCAUUGUGUUGGGGUAAGAUUUCACAUUUCCAUGGAAAUUUGGUGAUUUUCAUCUGCUUAGCAGGGGACCCCUCCAUCCGCCGCUCGGCCCCACCGUCCCCGCGCGCCACGUCAGAUCACCGCGGAGGUGGGCUCCACCCGCAGCGACCCAUCGAGGUACUCCUCUCUUCAACUGCUACUAGUACUAUCUCCUCCCGUCUCGUGCUCUUGCGCGCCCCCGCAUCUCUCUCUCCUCGCCUAGGGUUUCACGCCCUCCGAUCCCGCGGCGGCGGCGAAGCUUCCACUCGCCUCGGCGGCGGCGCCGGCCAGGUGAGGCAGCAGCUCGGGCUCUCUCUCUCUCUCUCCUCUUGUUUCUUCCUCUCGCCGUCGGAUCGGAUCGGGGCGGGUCCAUUCGUUGCGGCUUCUCCUGUAGAUCUGUGGCCCGUGCUCAUGCUCGAUCUGUACUGUAUCCGCGGGGUGUGUGUGAUCCGUGUCGCGUUCUUUUGGUUGGUUUUCUGCGGGAUGGAUGCGUUUGAUUAUGGUGCGGGUGGUUUUUUGGUGAGUAGGUGGGGGCGUCCAGAUCCAUGCGCAUGGAUGGAUCCUGGGUUGGUGUGUUCGUUGGUAGUUGUGAUUAUCCGGCGGGUAUCGGAUCGAUGCUAGUGAAGUAUGUGAUCGAGAGCGAUGUUUUGGUUGGUUAGGUGGUUGGCAGGGAUUUGUGCUUGGAUUCUGGGACAAGUUUUCGUUUCGUGACGUUGCUGACAUGCUUGGUUUGAAGGAAAAUAAUAAUAAUAAUGAUUAGGCGUAGAUAUAUGCUAAAUUUGACUCCGGAUCCAAGUCAAUUUUACCAAUUUUGAUAGGAAUUGAGCGUUGCGAAAGUUACCAUUCUUGCUAGGUUGACAUGUCAAACUUAACUUUGAGCAGGUAAUUUUCCAUUGCAAUUUUUUUUGGGAGCAAUCCAAUUCUUCUAUUACGGGAAUUUGCAAAAAAAAAAAAACUUGCAUAAAUCGCAGCAAUGGUCAGCACAUGAACGGAACAGGAACUACAAGCAAAAUGAAAAAGGAAAAUUAACUACCGUAUGAACCAAGUUUCACAUGGGCGUGCAAAAUUCUGCACAGGUAGCAGCACCCGUGCGAUCCAAGCCCAUCUCCACCGCCAACCCGACCAAAAAACACAGCUGUUGAUUCACAAGGCUUCGCAGAUCACAUCCCUACCUAAAUACCUAAAUUUCCAGCAUGCACGCAACCUAAGCGGGCAUGCUGAUCCAGAUCUACCCGACACCAUCAACCCAAUUCCCCCUCCUCCAAACAGCGAAACCGAACUGCAGCAGAUCACAACCCCCAUCUCCACUGAAUCCAAACACCACAUCGAGAAAAAAAAAACACACUCUAGAUCGCGCGACCGCAACACCGCGCCCCGCCCCCAUUCCCCCGCGGCGCGGUAGAUCAGGCACACACGGAUCGGCCAAAUCUGAUGGGGAAAAACAAGGAUAACAUGAGGGAAGGAUCGGAUCACCGGGCUCACCUGACAACGGUGAGGCCGCGCUCCGAUCUGGCGGCGGCGGCGGCAGUGGAGGUCGCCAAAUCUAGAGGCGCACGCGCGGCGAGUGAGGGAGGAGAGGAGAGAGGCGGGGUUAGGGGCGUGCAUGCAGGAGUACUAGUAGAAGCCAUAGGGGAAGGGGAAGCGAGGCAGUUGGGGUAUUUUAUAUGAUGAGCUGGAAUUUUUUUUGUUUCUUUUGCGGUUUUUCACCCUUUUUCUUGAAAAAAACUACUAUGCGUAAUUCGUCUUUCUUUUUUUUUUUUUUGUGUUGGUGGAAAGACAACUCUUUUAGAUUUUAGACUGGCAUGCUUCUUGUUAAAUGGAGAGAACGAAAGAGAGAUAGGGUCCUCUGCAAUACUCACCUGAGCCUAUGGCAGCUCCAACUCUCAGAUUCACCUCAGUUCUGACUAGAGCGCAACCAAACGGUCCAGCUCCACAAAAAAAUGGAGUGGAGUAGGCCAGAUCGCUCCAAAAAAUUGUACUAGCUGCGCUCCCAACUCCAACUCCAGAGGACCCUAUCUCUCUUUCGUUCUCUCCCUUUAACAAGAAGCAUGCCGGUCUAAAAUUAAAAUCUGAUAGAAUUAUCUUUCCACCAACACAAAAGAAAAAAAAGAAAGACGAAUUAGGCAUAGUAGUUUUUCAAGAAAAAAAAGUGAAAAUACCGCAAAAGAAACAAAAAAAAAAUCCAGCUCAUCAUAUAAAAUACCCCAACUGCCUCGCUUCCCCUUCCCCUCUGGCUUCUACCAGUACUCUUGCACGCACGGCCCUAACCCCGCCUCUGUAAAUUCUUUCUCUCUCUCUCGCGGCGCGUCCGCCUCUAGAUUUGGCGACCUCCGCCACCGCCGCCAGAUCGGAGCGCGGCCUCGCCACCGCCAGGUGAGCCCGGUGAUCCGAUCCUCCCCCUCGUGUUCUCGUUGUUUUUUCCCCUCAGAUUAGGCCGAUCCGUGUGUGCCCGAUCUACCGCGCCACGGGAGAAUGGGGGCGGGGCGGGGUGUUGCGGUGGCGCGAUCUGGAGUGUGUGUGUUUUUUCUUUCAGUGGGGAUGGGGGUUGUGAUCUGUUGCGGUUCGGUUUCAUUGUUUGGAGGAGGGGGGAAUUGGGUUGAUGGUAUUGGGUAGAUCUGGAUCAGCCUGGCCGCUUGGGUUCCGUGCAUGCUGGAAACUUAGGUAGGAAUGUGAUCAGCCUGGCCGCUUGGGUUCCCCACUGACCAGAUCACAACCCCCAUCCCCACUGAAUCCAACAGAUCCGUGCAUGCUGGAAACUUAGGUAGGAAUGUGAUCUGCGAAGCCUCGUGAAAUCACACCUGCGUUUUUGGUCGGGUUGGCGGUGGAGAUGGGCUUGGAUCGCAACGGGUGCUACCUAUGCAAAAUUCUGCGUGCCCACGUGAAACUUUGGUUCGUACUGGAGUUAAUUUUCCUUUUUUGUUUUUGCUUGUAGUUCCUGUUCCGUUCGUGUGCUGACCAUGCUGCGAUUUAGGCAAGUUCUUUUUUUGGUAGCAACUGAUUUUGUCGCUGGUGAUGAAGCCUUGUCAGAUGCUGAGCGAUAGUGCGGAGUAUCUGAGUUGUAGUGAUUGGAUCAUCGGAGUUACUGGGCAACCGCAAGGGUCAGCAUUCCUUGGUGAUAGAAUUUGUGUUGUAUGCUUUUAGACAACCGUAUGUGUAAUCUGUAUUUCUGUUCUCUUGAAUGAGAGAAGGGAAGGGAAGGUUAUUUUCCUUUCAGUAGAGUGACCAGUGAAUAUGAUGGAGUGAGGAGGGAAAUGUUUACUUAUCGCGUCACGGCUAUCUUGUCCCAAUUGUGGUUCUUUGUGAGUCACAGUGCUAGUUUUGUUUAUUAGGGUGCAGCUAUGCUACCAGAUACCAGCAGGACACAACAUACCACAAUAAGCUACUUUGUAAAAUGCAUCACAUUGAACACCUAAUGCCAUGCCAUCCUUAUUUGAUGUGCUUAAUGUUCUAAAAGUCAGCCCUAGGCAUGGCGUGCUAGGAGCUAUGUGCCAUGUCGCAGCUGUGAUUUUGCAUUUGGUGGUGCACCUUCCUUGGGGGCUCUAGUGCUGAUAUUUUAAUUGUCUUUAUUUAUGUGAUAUGUUUGCUAAUUGCUAGGAAACCUCUUGUCAAGUUGAUCUUAGGCGGGGUUAGGUGUCUGUAGGUGCUAACCUUGCUGACCACCUAGUCACCUUAUUGAACAUUGUAUGCGCUAUGAUAGCCAGCAAUGUUGUGACUGGCUUGUGUGCACCUGUGGUUUAGUGUACACCUCACCGCCUUGGCUGCACAGCAUGACUCAUUAGUUAUGGUGCACAUGCCCCAAACCGAUGUUCGUACUUUCCUCACAGGCCUAGAUUUGUGUGUGGUUAUUUGGUUUCUGUUUGUGUGAUUUGCAUGCAUGAUUUCAGGGAGUUACACUCGGGCAGGGAUUUGGAUGUGGGAUUUAAUGCCUAUUUGGUUUGUGGGUAGGCGUAGGCCCUCUUUGUUUAGGCUUAUAAGCCUACUUAUAAGUCGAAAAGUCUAAGUCAAAACAAACAAGCAGCUUUUUCAUUUGGCUUUUUUGAAGCCAUAAGCCACUCUAACACUAUUAAGCCAAAAGCUAGGUUGGAGAAGCUUUUUUGGCUUAUAUGAGAUAGAUGUAUGACUCCACCACUAAACUUAGGACAUUAAAUCCACUGGCUUAUAAAUCAUAUAAGCCAAUAAGCUGACUUAAAAGUCUAGGCCAAUAAGCCUAAGCCUAAACAAAGAGGGCCGUAGUGUGAUUGCAUAAUUCCCUAGGUCAUGGUUUAACUUGAACUUUGUAUCACAGUGUGGAGAUAUAUUCGUUUUGAUGUAUAGAUCAUGAUAUGGUAAUCUGUGUGCCUUUUCUGUCUGAACCAUAUUGAAUAUCCCCUGUGUCCCAAAAUAUAAGCAUUUCUGGAGUUCUGCAUGGUGAUUAAGGAAGUAGGUGGAAUUAAAUGGGAGAUGGUUUUCAUUUGUUGAGAUGAGGACCUUGCUGUCAUCCCAGUCUCAGCUGGAGAAAUUAAACGGUAGAUGGUUGUGAUUUGUUGAGAUAAGGGAGUAGCUGAAGUUGCUAUAUUUUGGCACGGAGGGAGUUACUAAGUGGAGAAAAGAGGUAUGGACUUGGCUUGCAUAUAAUUGAUUUACUAGGGUAGUGUUCUUGUUUUCGUUUCCAGGUAAGUGGGGUCAUUCUGGCACAUAAUGUUUUCAGUGAAUUUUGCCUGAUUUCUUAUCAUGUGUGGUCACAUUUCUUAAUUCCGAAAAACAUAUUAUAACCAAUUGCCCUUGCAUAUGAUGAAUAUGAUCUUACUGGAUGUGUGUUCAUUUAUGCUGUGAUGUUUACUGAUUCCUUUUACAUAUCUGAAGGGACAUGGGAAUGGAGGUUGUUGGAACUGAGGCUGCACCAGCAGAGGUUAAAGUAACUGAUGGAGAAGUGAACCUUUUCCAAGAGAAUGAAAGUAAAGCAACUGCCAAGGAACGUGAGGAGGCGGUUCUUUUUGGUUCAGAUAACAGCACAGCUACAGCAAAUGGAGCCGCAAAUGGCGCUGAUUUGGCACCCCCAAAGGAUGCAGAGGAGGACUGGCCUGAAGCUAGGAAAACACAUAGCUUCUUCUUUGUCAAGAUCCGCUUACUUGAGGACCCUAAGCUGAAAAUGAAGAUUGAUCAGGCAGAAAAGGACUUCCAGAAGAAGAUUCAAGCUCGUUCUCAAAUUUUUGAGGCUAUAAAAGCCAAGAAGGUAUGGUCCUAGUUCUUACAGUUCUAGUACAUAUAAAUAUGGUCAAUCUUGUUUAAAUUUUAUCCUAAAUCAGCAAGAAGUUAUAUUCCUUACAACUUGUUUAAAACGACUGUCAUCUGCUAUUGAUGCUAGAGCCUAGAAUAUGUUGCCAAUUUGAGCAGACUACGAAAUUUUGGUGAUAUGUCUGAUUUUGGAACUUAAUCUGCAGAAUGAGCGCUUCGGUAUUAUCUCAGAGCUGAAGCCAUUGGCUGCUGAGAACAAGCAAUACAACGAAGCCGUAAGUGAGAAGUUGAAGGCGAUAGAACCUCUUAGAAACCGUUUAGGAAAGUUCCGCGAUGAAAACAAUGCUAUCCGGGCACAGGGUGCAGGCAUAUGUUCUUCAAUUGAAGAGCUUGAGAAAUCGGUAUGGCAGUACGGUUAACCUAUGAUAAUUUAUUUUUCUGUUCUUCAGUCCAAUAUUUGAUUACAUGUUUGUGCCUUCUCCAUUGCUUUGUCCUAUUAGAUCAAGAGAUUGAACGACCGCAUAUCUCAUGAGAGCAUACCCUUGGAUGAGGAGAAGCGGUUGAUCAAACAGAUUAGAGAGCUUGAAAAGACCAGACCGAAAGUCAUCUCCACUUCUGCUAACCGAGCUCAAAUCCAAGAUACAGUGGUCGAAAGAGACGCCAUACAGGAUCAGGUUAAAGUAAGUAUAUACAACUAAAUAUUUGUUUGUGCAUUUAUCUUCUUGAAAAAAAAAUAGAAUUAAUAAUGGCCAAACAUUGUUUGCAACUGUUACUUCAGAUCAUCGGGGAGGGCAUUGAUGGAGUAAAGAAGGAGCGACAAGCAGUCAGGUCUAAAAUUAAGGUCCUGGAGGAUGAGCUAAAGGCUAUUGACAUGGAGAUGGGUUCGCUUCAAGAAGAUUUAACUGCUGCCAAUGCCAGAAAGGACAAGGCACAUGAAUCAUUGGUCCAAUUGAGACAUGCACGAGAUGCCUAUGUAAGUCAAUGUGUCUUUAAUGUCUUUCAUGCGGGGCAUCAUGUUUUCUCUUCUAAUACUAUCUACCUGGUAUGCCUGGACUAAGAAGGAGCAACACCUAAUUUUUUAAAGUUACUUCAGUUGUGUUGCACACAGUGUUACGGGACACACGGGUCCAAAGUUUUUGACAUAUCAACUUGUUUCUUUUUGCCAACAUGUCUCUGACUCGACUCGACUGGUGGUGCAUCUUCCAGCAGAGUGUAACUGGUAGUCAAGGCAGAAACGCAUUGCUUUGUUGGGGAGGGGAAAGAAAAGGCAUUGGGGAUAGAAUAAUCAAUAAGUGUGAAAAUGAAGUCUGUCUAGGUUGUUUUUUUUUGUCAGCGGCCAACUUUCUAUCCUCUCUAGAGACUUUUUUGUGGAUAAGUGGAUGGAACAGUUAUAAAUGUCCUGGGCUCCUGGUAUGGAUAAACAGACUAGAUAAUUUUCUGUGUGCUAGAAAAGCCUAGAAUGAUGUACCCCCUUUCGUCCCAAAACAGUCCCAAAAUAUAGCUACUUGUCACCACCUACUCCCCCAUAUCAACCAAUUCCAUCUCUCAUUUAAUCUCUACCAUCCCUCUUCUCAACCAAGCACAACCACCCCCAUUUAAUUUCACUUCUCUCCUUAAUCAUCGUGAAAAUUCCAGAAAGUGCUUAUAUUUUGGGACAAGGGGAGUAGAACAUAUGCUGCGUACAAGAGAUUUUGUGAAAUGCUUAAGUCCUUAUAACAGAAUUAAUUAUAUUAGGUGAAUCCUUGACUAUUUAGCAUUUGCUAAAUCAGAUACCUGAAAAUCCAUGACGGAUACGGAUUCCUAUGUCUAUGUGCCGGUAACACUGGAUUUACAGUUCUCAGCAAAUACAUAUAUUUGCAUGUCUUCACAUAACCUCAGUUACACGUCCUUGAGCUGUAAGACAGAUUAAUUUUUGUUUUCCCCCCAAGUUUGGUGCUUUUCUAUGUAUAUACUGACACUAUAAUUACCAAUCGAAUUUCCUUCAUGAUUCAUUGAUACCUCUGCAUAAGGGUAACCUGUUAACAUGUGGUGAUGAAACAUGUUUUUAGUAAUUAAUUGUCUCAUAGUUACUACUCCCUCCAUUCCAAAUUGAUCUACAUAUUUCAUAGGUACACCAAGACCAAUAAAAGCUAAUAACUCUCUCAUACUAUAUUUACUCUAGCAACAAACUCGAUGUAUGCACCAUCCCCACUAUCUCCUAGCCAAUAGCAAAUCAAGAUAUUGCAUGUGGGUUAUAAAUACUUGUGUGCAUGGAUGUAUGCAUCAAUGUCCAUUUACUCCAAUGCACAAAUAACGAAUAGACUUAAUUUAUGAACACAAAUAUGUAGAUCAUUUAGGAAUAACCUCAAAAAAACUAUAUGUAGAUCAAUUUGGAAUGGAGGGAGUAUAUAUUAGCAUGCUUAAGCUAGCUGCUUUUGACUUUGAGGAUGUGGAGUUCAUUUGUCUUUCUACUGAUACCUCUUAUGCUCCCAUGUUUAUCUAGAACGCAUCAUUCCAUCAAAACCGCCAACUUCUGAGCAAAGCUAGGGAUCUUGCUUCUAGGAGUGAGCUUGCACAAGUGCAAGAGCUCUACAAGACACAGGUGUGUGCGCCUCUGGAGCAUUGUUUUAAUAACUGUUCAUCUUUUACGACUUAACAAAAAUGUCCUAACUAAACUUCUGUUGUACUCUUUAUAGGUUGACAAAUUCGUGGCAGAAUGGUGCAACAGCAAGGCCUUCAGAGAGGACUACGAGAAAAGGAUCCUCUCCUCCCUCAACAGUCGACAGCUUAGCCGAGAUGGCCGGAUGAGGAAUCCUGAUGAGAAACCCAUAUUUAUUGAAACAGAGGCAGCAGCACCACCUGUAGAACAAGAGCCUAUCCAAUCAAAAAUGCCUGCAAAACAAGCCAAGGAAGCGCCUGCUCCCCAAGCAGAGGUUUCUCCCAAAGAUGAGUCCCGCGUGAAAGCAAUAGCUAAGCCAUCUAAGGCUAAAUCCUCUCUGGAUGCUGAUGAUGACUAUGAGGCCGAGUCUCCCAAGGAGAAGCCAAAGCCUAAAGAGGUUGAUGUAGCUAAGUUGAAAGAGAUCAAGAGACAGGAGGAGAUGGAGAAGAAUAGACUUGCCCUGGAAAGGAAGAAGAAGCUGGCCGAGAAGCAAGCAGCGAAGGCAGCAGCCCGUGCACAAAAGGAGGCAGAGAAGAAACUCAAGGUAGACAAGUCGUCGUCAUCAUCAUCCCUCUUCCUCGCUGCCACAUUGUAACCAUGUUUAUCUCUCUCGCUUUGCCACAUUGUAACCACGUCAAUGUACUUAUUUUCAGAGAGAGGAGAUGAGGGCCAGGAGGAGGGCUGGGGCAGCUGACACCGAGGCGUCCACUGAAUCGGACAACAGGUCUGAUGGAGCAGCGGAGGCACAAGCAGAGGACGACUCCGCUCCUGCUUCUGCUCCGGUGAUGAGAGAACAGAGGGAGAGUGUCCGGUACAGCAGAAACGUCGUGACCAAGAGCAAGGCCCCGCUGCCGAAGGCGAUCCUGAGGAGGAAGAAAGCCCAGUCGUACUGGUCCUGGGCUGGCCCUGCUGCUGCAGUGGCCGCCGCGCUCGUCGCCCUGCUUGCCGUGCUAGGCUACUACCAGUACUACCUCCCAGCGAGCGCUAGCAACUGAUGGAAGGAAAGCAGGCAGCCCCCCCUUGAGAAUUGCUUACUUGAACAAUUUUGCAGGUGAGAAACAGAGUGCGUGGUCUGCUGAGACGUGGACUGAAAGACUGGAGAUUUGUUCGUUUUCGUUCUGUUAGUUUGAUGAUCGGUGGAUAAGAGUAAGGAAAAAAAAAGGAUAGAAGUUAAUUUUGGUUGGGACUUAGAAUCUCCUAUAUACUGCGAGUGAUCUCAUGUACUCUUAAACUGAAGCAUAGGUUGCCGUUCUGAAAUAAACAAUGCCGCAUGCUUUAGGUUUACUUAUCUGUUCCUAUGAGCCAGAUGAAUUGCUGUGUUGUUCCGUUUUGUUCCAUGAGCAAUCGAUGAUCGUCAUUUGCAUGCUGCUUGCGGAUGUGGGCGAGCUAAUGUCAGUGUGUAGCGUGGGUUUACAAAUCCCCAAAUCUGUCUGUAUCGCUCUAAGGCCCCGUUUAGUUUUCCAAAUUUUUUCCCUAAAACCAUCGUAUCGAAUCUUUAGACAUAUGCAUGAAGCAUUAAAUAUAGAUAAAUGAAAAAACUAAUUGCACAGUUAAUUAGUCCAUGAAGAAGGAAAUCGCGAGACGAAUUUUUUGAGUCUAAUUAGUCUAUGACUAGCCAUAAAUGCUACAGUAACUCACAUGUGCUAGUCUUGCGGUUUCCAGGUGAGUUAUAUUUUUUCAUUCGUGUCCAAAAAACCCUUCCGACAUCCGGUCAAACAUCCGAUAUGACACAUAAAAAUUUUCUUUUCAUGAACUAAACAGGCCCUAAAUCCUGGGCGGGGUUCGCAAAAUUGUCUCGUCACAAAAACCGCUUCCCAGCAGUUUCAUCGAGAAUUGUGAUUGACAAAAAAAAAAGUUCGCAUAAAUUAACACUUAUGAAAUUAUAAUGGCAUGAUUCUAAAUAGUUAAAUAGUAAUGAUAUAUUUUUAAACCGUAAAAUUUAUAAUGACGUAAAUCCAACUAACCCUACAAUUGUACACCCAGCACUUCAGCACAAGUCUCUUACUUUUUGGUGCUCAAAAGAUUUAGUAAAAUUCAACAAUAACAUGGAAUAAUUUUAUUUUAAGUUUAUAUUUCGGGUUGUUUGUGUAAAGGCAAAGACCCGUAGAUUACGCAUGUGCAAAGAUUUUAUGGAGGUUCAAACGCUCCUUUAGAUAAAUAGCCUUAAGCCUGUUGGUUUGUAUAUAUUAGUUCAAAAUUCAUGAUAUAUAAAUAAAGCCAGCUAUAUAUUGUGUUGUUACGGAGCGAGUUUUCCCAUUGACCUAAGGGAGUCCUUCAAUAGUUGAGCAAAGAAGUUCAGGUACGUGUUUUAAUGCUUCAUGGAAGAACCAACAAGGAGAUCUAGACAUCACUUCUGAUUGGGAUUAAGGUAAUGAGCCCUAUCUGAUGUCAGUGGGGAUUGUUUACAGUACCGCAGCAAACACUGACGUAUGGGUCUGGACCCAUAUGUUAGCCACCGCUACUGCAUCAGCAGUAUUGCAGAGAAUUUGCAUCAGCAGUACUGCAUCAGCAGUAUUACAGAUGGGGGUGCACAAAGCCGGGUCAGUUUACCCAACUACCUUCCUCCUCUUAACUAUAACUUAUAUUCAAUUUAUGUCUCUCGAAAAUAGAUAUGAACAUACUUUUUUAAAAAAUAAUACUACAUAUUGUGAAUUUGUGAUCCUUACCUUUACAUUUGAGUUAUGACGAACAACUUUAUCGAUUAUAUAAAAGAAAGGAUGACUUCUUAUCCAAACAAAUCCUAUAGUAAUGUCUUUUUAACUUUCAGUGACUAACAUAUAAACCAUCAAACGAGUCCAUAUUAAAGGAUAAUACUACGAAGAAUUGUCAUCCCACAUUUUUACACUGCCACUAUCAGUUAAAACUGAAAACCAGCUCACCCCAAGCUCACCAAGAAUCUUCGAGAAACUUAUAAACUCCGCCGAAAAAUCUCGGACAAACCCGCGGCUCACACGCCUCCACGCACCCAAACCCCACCCUAGAAUAUCCUCUCCUUGGCCACCGCGCCGCCACAUCAGCCUCCCCAAUCUCCCCGCCCCACGCGCGAGCGCCAAUCGCGAGCCGCCUUUAGAUUUCCCAAGAUAAGGACUCGAUCCCCCCUCACUUCCCGCGCUAUUUAAACUCCCGCGCCAUCUCCAACUCCCAACUCACACUCGCUCGCUCAUCGCCAUCUCUCUCAGCUCUCACAGCUCACUGCAUCAAUGGCCGCGGCCACCAUGGCGCUCUCCUCCCCGGUGAUGGCCCGCGCGGCGCCGUCGACCUCCUCCGCGCUCUUCGGCGAGGCGCGGAUCACCAUGCGCAAGACCGCCGCGAAGCCCAAGCCGGCGGCGUCGUCGGGGAGCCCGUGGUACGGCGCCGACCGCGUCCUCUACCUCGGCCCGCUCUCCGGCGAGCCGCCGAGCUACCUCACCGGCGAGUUCCCGGGCGACUACGGGUGGGACACCGCGGGGCUCUCCGCCGACCCGGAGACGUUCGCCAAGAACCGGGAGCUGGAGGUGAUCCACUCCCGGUGGGCGAUGCUGGGCGCGCUCGGCUGCGUCUUCCCGGAGCUCCUCGCCCGGAACGGCGUCAAGUUCGGCGAGGCCGUGUGGUUCAAGGCGGGCUCGCAGAUCUUCAGCGAGGGCGGGCUCGACUACCUCGGCAACCCGAGCCUGAUCCACGCGCAGAGCAUCCUCGCCAUCUGGGCGGUGCAGGUGGUGCUCAUGGGCGCCGUCGAGGGGUACCGCAUCGCCGGCGGGCCGCUCGGCGAGGUCGUCGACCCGCUCUACCCCGGCGGCGCCUUCGACCCGCUCGGCCUCGCCGAUGACCCCGAGGCGUUCGCGGAGCUCAAGGUGAAGGAGAUCAAGAACGGCCGCCUCGCCAUGUUCUCCAUGUUCGGCUUCUUCGUCCAGGCCAUCGUCACCGGCAAGGGCCCCCUCGAGAACCUCGCCGACCACCUCGCCGACCCCGUCAACAACAACGCCUGGGCGUACGCCACCAACUUCGUCCCCGGCAAGUGAAGUGGGGGACCGUAGCUUAGCAGUGGUUAAUUGUGGUUGGAUGGAUUUGUGGCCAGCGAGUUCGUUGUCUUUGGGUUGGGGAAGAUGGGUUUAGUGCGACGAGAU
rnacentral:lncRNA from 1 species